GGGUUGUGAGGUUAAGCGACUAAGCGUACACGGUGGAUGCCUAGGCAGUCAGAGGCGAUGAAGGACGUGCUAAUCUGCGAAAAGCGCCGGUGAGCUGAUAUGAAGCGCUAUCAGCCGGCGAUGUCCGAAUGGGGAAACCCAGUGUGAUUUGUCACACUAUCAUUCACUGAAUCCAUAGGUGAAUGAGGCGAACCGGGGGAACUGAAACAUCUCAGUACCCCGAGGAAAAGAAAUCAACCGAGAUUCCCCCAGUAGCGGCGAGCGAACGGGGAGCAGCCCAGAGCCAUCAUCAUUGUCAGCGCCAGGAGAACGGUCUGGAAAGGCCGGCAGUAAAGGGUGACAGCCCCGUAUCCGAAGGUGUUGGCAGUGUGAGCUCGAUGAGUAGGGCGGGACACGUGGUAUCCUGUCUGAACAUGGGGGGACCAUCCUCCAAGGCUAAAUACUCCUGACUGACCGAUAGUGAACCAGUACCGUGAGGGAAAGGCGAAAAGAACCCCGGCGAGGGGAGUGAAAGAGAACCUGAAACCGUGUACGUACAAGCAGUGGGAGCCCCACCU
rnacentral:rRNA from 1 species